UCUUGGCUCACUGCAACCUCCGCCUCCUGGGUUCAAGCGAUUCUCCUGCCUCAGCCUCCCGAGUAGCUGGGAUUACAGGCAUGUGCCACCAGGCUUGACUAAUUUUCUAUUUUUAGUAGAGACAAGGUUUCUCCAUGUUGGUCAGGCUGGUCUCAAACUCCCGACUUCAGGUGAUCUGCCUGCCUCGGCCUCCGAAAGUGCUAGGAUUACAGGAGUGAGCCACUGCGCCAGGCCUUCUCCAGGCUCUUGGCACCUUAGCCAGAAACAAUUUAAGGACAAGUCCAAAAGUCAUGAACGUAGGCAGAUUUCUUGCAGAGUAAAGGGACUCACUCAAGAAGAGGGGGUCCUCAAGAGAGUGUCUCAUGCCGUACAAGGUGUGGGGCUGACCUUUAUGGGCUUCUUUAACUAAAGAGGGGUAUAUUCAUGAAGAUUCCAGGAAAAGGUAAAGAUUUCUCAAGACCGUGGUGCCACAAUUUACACCCAAAUACAGGUGUUCCUGGAGCCGUCUUGGCGCUGGUGGGUGUAUGGUUUCAUAUGUUACUGAUCAUACAAUGAGAUCCUAGGUGAAACCUACAUCAAAUACAGCGCCAUGUUGUGUCUGGUUGGUCGUAGCCAGCUUGGUCCUCAUCCUAUUUUUCAGGGACUUAUUGGCCCUUAGCACAUGCAGCUAUUUCAAGUUUCCUUCUUCUCCUCAUGUGAAACUGUUGCCUGGGAUUUUCUAUUCACUUGCUACCACUCUAUUAAUCUCACAUUCUCGCCUCUUUUCUGUGCCACCCGUGUGGGUCCGACAGGUUGUUACUAGAGUGCAAUACAAAGUCUUAGUCAAGGGAACCUCCUGAGGGUUGCUGAGGGCAGGGGUGAAGCUAGUAGCCUGAGGACCUGCCAGUCACGGGGAUUCCUCAUGGGCACAGAGGAGGGAGGAGGGGCCCAUGGCCCUAGCAUAUGAGAAGCCUCUCCUCUGCCUGGAAGUCCCAUGCCUCAGCUUCCCCCACACUCCCACCUGUCCGCUUGCCUCUGAACUCACGCAUUUCUUGGAAGUCUUGGGAGAUUCACCUUUACUCAGAUGGUUGUUUACCUGUCUCGUGCACAGCUUGACCUUGGACUUUAAAGUGAGGAUAAAGAACGAGGAGGAUGGGGGGAUGCACUCCUUCCACGGGGCCCCGUGGCUUCCAAACCUCGGCCUCCUCUGGUCUCUUCUCUGUGGAGCCUCCUUCAAACGCAGGGAAACAAAACCACCUGCCCAGGGCCGCUGUUGUUCUAGGAUCUUCUGUCAAUGUUCUGUGAGUUCCCCCAGGAGCCAUGAAGCUGGGGCUGGCUCCCAGGGCAAUGGGACUGCAGUGUCCUUGUUCUUUCUUGUUCUAUGGAUCCAUGCUCUGCUCCACCCCUGCCCCUUCACUCUGCCCACACACAUCACUCCAGACUGGCCUUGUGGUCAGAGCCUGGAGUGCAUGGGCUGCUGGGGGCCUGUGGGCUGCACUGGGCCAGAACCCCUGGCACCUUCAAGACUGGCCUGGAGCCAGCAGGUAGGUGACCUUUCCAGGGCCUGCCUCUCCCAUCUUUCUCCUCCAAUCCCUCCCCUCUCUUGCCUGGGUCAAUUAGAGAAAUCUUGUCUGUUGGCCUGCCUGGCAGGGUGGAGUUCAGGGGCAGGUCAGGAGCCCCGUGACAGCUCAAAAAACAAAAAACAAAAAACACAAACCUACAAAAACAAAGCCACCUUUGGGCCUUUCCCCUUUCAUUCUGUUUUCUACACAGCAAACUCAGUCGUGGCUUUGGAGAUCACUUUAAGCUUGUCUCCAGCUGGCAAACUAAGGAGGGUAACGGAGAAGCUCCCCCACCCCCAACCCUACCUCUUCCUUCCGGAAGCAAAUCUAAGUCCGCCCUGGCUCCAGAUCCCUCCCACCCUGGACCUAAGAAACCCUCAGCACAGACAACACCCCUGCAUUCCCCACACAACACCCACACUCAGCCACUGCGGGCGAGGAGGGCACAAGGCCAGGUUCCCGAGAGCUCAGGUGAGUGACACACUGGAAUGGCCCAGGGCACCCUCACCCUGCUCAGCUUGUGGCUCCAACACUCCAGAAGCCGAGGCCUCUGCCAUCCCUGCCCUCUCCCCAUGGAUAUCCCAUUUCAGACAACCCCGGCCGGCCUGAAUCCCCCUUCCUUCCUUUUUUUUUUUUCCGGGGAGGCCAGGUCUUGCUGUCACCGAGGCUGGAGUGCUGUGGGAUCCUGGCCACUGCAGCCUGGAAUUCCUGGGCUCAAGUGAUUCUCCUGCCUCAGUAGCUAGGACUACAGGCCCUCACCGUCCUGCCUGGUUAAUUUUUAAAAAUACUUUUAAAAGAUUUUUAGAGAUGGGGUCUUGCAAUGCUGCCCCAGGUUGGUCUCCAACUCCUGGCCUCAGCUUCCCUAGGGUCUAGGAUUACAGGCGGGAGCCACCCUGCCUGGACCCAUCCUUUUGCCGAGUCAUCAGAGUUUUGUUCAUUCCCACAGCAGCUCUGGCCCCUAGUAGCAGCUCAGUUCCUCAAUGGGCCGUGUUUGUCCUGGAGCUCAGAUGCACGGUGGCUUGGCAAGUGGAUCACAGGCCUGGCUGGCCUGGGAGGUUUCCACAUGUGAGGGGCCGAGGGGCUCAAGGAGGGGAGUAUCUGGGAGAGGAGCCCACUGGGUGGAGGCUGGGGGGUCACAGCAGGAAAUGGUGAGACAAAGGGCGCUGGCUGGCAGGAAGACAGCACAGGAAGGUCCUAGAGUUUCCUCAGUGCAGCUGGACUCUCCUGGAGACCUUCACACACCCUGAUAUCUGGGCCCCGCGCCACGAGGGUGCUUUCACUGGUCUGCACCAUGGCCCAGGCCCUGGGAUUUUGAACAGCUCUGCAGGUGAAUGAAAGGUGAGGCCAGGCUGGGGAACCACCACAUUAGAGCCCGACCUGGUUUUCAGCCCCAGCCCCGCCACUGACUGGCUUUGUGAGUGCGGGCAGGUCACUCAGCCUCCCUAGGCCUCAGUGACUUCCCUGAAAGCAAGAAUUCCACUUUCUUGCUGUUGUGAUGGUGGUAAGGGAACGGGCCUGGCUCUGGCCCCUGAAGCAGGAACAUGGAGCUGAUCCAGGAUAUCUCCCGCCUGCCACUGGAGUACGUGAAGGGGGUCCCGCUCAUCAAGUACUUUGCAGAGGCACUGGGGCCCCUGCAGAGCUUCCAGGCCCGGCCUGAUGACCUGCUCAUCAGCACCUACCCCAAGUCCGGCACCACCUGGGUGAGCCAGAUUUUGGACAUGAUCUACCAGGGCGGCGAUCUGGAGAAGUGUCACCGAGCUCCCAUCUUCAUGCGGGUGCCCUUCCUUGAGUUCAAAGUCCCAGGGAUUCCCUCAGGGCUGGAGACUCUGAAAGACACACCGGCUCCACGGCUCAUCAAGACACACCUGCCCCUGGCUCUGCUCCCCCAGACUCUGUUGGAUCAGAAGGUCAAGGUGGUCUAUGUUGCCCGCAACGCAAAGGAUGUGGCGGUUUCCUACUACCACUUCUACCACAUGGACAAGGUGCACCCUGAGCCUGGGACCUGGGACAGCUUCCUGGAGAAGUUCAUGGUCGGAGAAGUGUCCUACGGAUCCUGGUACCAGCACGUGCAGGAGUGGUGGGAGCUGAGCGGCACCCACCCUGUUCUCUACCUCUUCUAUGAAGACAUGAAGGAGAACCCCAAAAGGGAGAUUCAAAAGAUCCUGGAGUUUGUGGGGCGCUCCCUGCCAGAGGAGACCGUGGACCUCAUGGUUCAGCACACGUCGUUCAAGGAGAUGAAGAAGAACCCUAUGACCAACUACACCACCGUCCCCCGGGAGUUCAUGGACCACAGCAUCUCCCCCUUCAUGAGGAAAGGCAUGGCUGGGGACUGGAAGACCACCUUCACCGUGGCGCAGAAUGAGCGCUUUGAUGCGGACUAUGCGGAGAAGAUGGCAGGCUGCAGCCUCAGCUUCCGCUCUGAGCUGUGAGAGGGGCUCCUGGAGUCACUGCAGAGGGAGUGUGCGAAUCAAGCCUGACCAAGGGGCGAAUCAAUCCUGACCAAGAAUAAAAUAUGAAUUGAGGGCCAGGGACGGGUGGCUCAUGCCUGUAAUCCCAGCAAUUUGUGAAGUUGAGGCCAGAAGAUCACUGGAGGACAGGAGUUUGAGACCAGCCUGGUCAACGUAACAAGACACCAACCUUACAAAAAUUUGAGAAAAUUAUUUGCAUGCGGUGGUGGGCACCUGUAGUCCCAGCUACUUGACAAGUGAAGGCAGGAGGAUCGCCUGAGCCAGGGAGGUUGUGGCUGCAGUUGGCUGUGACUGGGCUAAUCCACUCAAGCCUGAGGGACAGAGUGAACCCUGCCUGAGAAAUAAACA